AUAAUAUUUAAAAUUUAGCCUAAAGGAAUAAUAUUCACAUCUAUGGAUGUCCAUGUUCAUAGGUACUUACAGCGUAGCUUCACCACUGGGGUGAACCGGACUAUAAAUGAGCUGCAUCUUGGGUGUCGAGAAUUUGGUUUGACUGCUUCACUCUUGGCUGUGAUGGCAUCAACGGACCUUUGCAUAGCUAAUGUCCUAUACUACCGCAGGCUUGAAGUAUUUGGGAAACUGAAACCUCUGCCUGUCCAGCAACUGGGUGGAUUCUGAGGAGCUGCACUCAAGAUGGUUUCUCUAUGUUCUUUGGGCUUGAUAGUGUCUACCCUCUCCUGUAAGACCGGCAGAAGGCUGAAUGAAACCACCUGUGCCUACCUGUUUCUGAGAACAAGCUGCUAGUUCUGGGAAAACAGAACUGCCUACGGCCAUAUGCACCCAUCUGUUCUCUGCAAACACGCCUUGGCCUUUCCCAUACACUGUCAGUGGAUGCUGGGUGAAUCACAGCAGAGAAUGUGGUGCAACACAGUAGGAAGGUCCUGACAAAACAGGAAGAGAGGAGAGGUGACAAGAAUGGCCUGAGCACAAGUUGACCAGCACAUUGGAAAGGAAAACGAAGUACAUGUGCUGUCAGUGUAAGUGAGACAUGCGGUCAUCUUGUGUGAAGACUGCCUUGGAUGUGACACUUGAAGCAAAGAUUCUUUCUGAGGGCCCCAGUCCAGAUGCUUGGUUCAAUCUACUACACCUAGGAACUGACAGCAAUCCAGGAAACACUUGGGAUGCAGCAAUGGCCUGGUUUGGAGGAACACAAGAAAAUAUCAAGGUGAGAGCCGCGCCUGGCCAUAGGUCUGCAGAGGAGGAGCUGGACAGAUCUGGGGUGCCCUCACUGGCCUCUCUGCGUGUCUGGAGGACUCUGGAUUUCUGCGCCCAGACUGCUGGAGUUCCCUCAGGCUUCCAGGUGCAGUGAAGGAGAGAGGUGGGUUUAAGGCUUCCACAUCAGCCUCCCCAUUCCCGGGUGCAUUUGGAGACCUGCUGAGCUCCCGAUAGGUGGGCUGGCCCACACUACUAGCCUAGCCCAGCCUGUUUAGCUGCUGCGCCUGGCCACAGGUCUGCAGAGGAGGAGCUGGGCAGAUCUGGGGUGCCCUCACUGGCCUCUCUGCGUGUCUGGAGGACUCUGGAUUUCUGCGCCCAGACUGCUGGAGUUCCCUCAGGCUUCCAGGUGCAGUGAAGGAGAGAGGUGGGUUUAAGGCUUCCACAUCAGCCU
rnacentral:lncRNA from 1 species